AAAAGGGAAAGUGUCCACAUGAUUAGGCGGUGAGCUAGCUGUCCACUAGUGUUGCUUUCGGAUCUUUGUAGGAAAAAAAAGAUGGUAUGGAUUUAGAUGGUCCUCUUAGAUAUCUACAUCAUGUUCUGGUUGAUGUGGGAUUCAUUUUAUAACCGUUGAAGUCUUUCCUAUACAAGAUUUUUAUGGACAACCUAUGAGUAACUAGAAAGAGGUAGAAGUACAUCUUCGGUAGCAAAGCAUCUUUAUUUUUACUAUGGUUUUGUCUCACAUAUUAUCAUCUUUUUUGUGCAAGGAAACAAGCAUACAAAGUGACAACAACAAAUGGAGAGACUUGGGACCUACCAAUGCAGCAACUAAACAAAGGAAGCACAAGAGUUUGAUCUAGAGAGUCAGAAAAGUCUCACCAAAGGUUUCAAAAGCAAGAACCUGAAGCAAAAGCAAGAACCUGAAGUGAUGAACCAGACAAUCUACUUGCUAGAAGAAACUGGUUGGACGCCGAUGAUGAUGAGGGUUAACAUCAGUAGUUGCAACAACUCCGGUACCGCUCGCGCCACGUCUACUCCGUUGGUAUACAUGGGCUCAAGUAGUCACAACAAAGCACGAUUAUCACUCAUACAGUGAACGGCAAGAUUGUCACAAGGCCACCUUCAGGUUGUACGAACUCAUUGUUUAGUUUGACUUGGCGCUGCGGAACAUAUAUAUA